GAUGAACGCUGGCGGCGGGCCUAAUACAUGCAAGUCGAGCGAACGGACGAGAAGCAGGCUCGUCUGAUGUUAGCGGCGGACGGGUGAGUAACACGGGGAUAACCUACCUAUAAGACUGGGAUAACUUCGGGAAACCGGAGCUAAUACCGGAUAAUAUUUUGAACUGCAUGGUUCAAAAGUGAAAGACGGUCUUUCUGUCACUUAUAGAUGGAUCCGCGCGGCAUUAGCUAGUUGGUAAGGUAACGGCUUACCAAGGCGACGAUGCUUAGCCGACAUGAGAGGGAGGACGGCCACACUGGAACUGAGACUCGGUCCAGACUCCUACGGGAGGACGCAGUAGAGAAUCUUACGCAAUGGGCCAGAGCCUGACGGAGCAACGCCGCGUGAGGGAUGACGGUCUUCUGAUCGUAAAACGCUGUUAUUAGGGAAGAAGAUAUGUGUAAGUACCUGUGCACAUCUUGACGGUACCUAAUCAGAAAGCCACGGCUAACUACGUG
rnacentral:rRNA from 1 species